UUUAUUGUUUAGUGAGAAUGAUAUUUGUUCUUUAACAAUGUGGUAAAAAGUAUAAGUAAAGAUUCCUUGAUUAAUUUAGGGUUAUUUUUAGUUUAGGUUGAGGUGUAUUUUUAUAUGUCUGGAUUGAUGAUUAGAAAUAAUUUUAGUUUAUUUAAUUAACGAGUCUUGGUAAUUUUUGAAAACCGGUGUUGAGAUAUAAUUUUGAUUGGUUUUAGUUAAUAGAUUAUAGAUUUAUUGAUAUAAAGACUUUUUGGGGUUAUAUGAUCAAGUGAAUAAGUGCAU
rnacentral:misc_RNA from 1 species